GUGGUCUAGCCCCCCCUCUUAGGGUCAACCAUGAAUUAGAUUUGCCUAGAUAUCUAGACCUCCACUAGUUCAAAAGACAUCUAGAGAGAGAAUCAGUGGAAAGAAAAAGUACAAAAGAGAGAAAAAGUAUUGAGAAGAGAGAAAGUGUAGAAGAGAGAGAGAAAUUUCUUCUAAUUUCUCUCUCUCUAUCUCUCUCCGCCUCUCAUUUUCUCCUUCAUGGGAAAGAAAGCAGGGAAA
rnacentral:lncRNA from 1 species